rnacentral:lncRNA from 1 species
UGGCCCCCAACAGAAACUCAGCCCAGUGACUCACUGCCCAGUCACAAAGCACAGCCGGAGAUGCAGAGAUCAGAGGUCUGAACAUGAGGGCUGGGGGCCAGAACUGGGCUCUCCCAGGCAGCCUGGCCACGGGGCACACAGUGUGGGCCAUGAGAGAGAGUGGCUGCAUUGUUUUACUUCCCACCGGGAGCGCUCGAGGGCUCCCACCCUGGGCCAACAUUCAGCAGGGCAGGGCGUGCACGGGAUUUGAGCUCUGGAACCAUCUCUAUGGCCAUGCUGUGGACACCAGGCUGGGAGGAAGUGAGACCAGUUGUCGAGGACGAGCUCUAAUCAGAAGAGGGGGUUUAACUUCUUGCUGCUGGCCAUGGGGAGCCACAGAAGGUUCUGGAGAGAUCACAUGUGGCUGAGAAAGUGGUAAAUGAGUGCAUCUGACCUGGCAGUUGGGAGCUUCUGAGAAAGGCCCAGCCCCCGGCUGUGGCGGUGCUGAGAACUCGGUGACUGGCUGCAUCUGAGAUGCUGGCUGUUUCGUCUCUCCGGGCUGGUGAGCAAUGGACAAGCAGAGCCCCGCCCAGCCACGAUGGGUGCGGAG